UACAGAGGUGGCAAGCGUUGUUCGGGAUUACUGGGCGUAAAGGGCGCGUAGGCGGCCUGUUAAGUCCCGUGUGAAAUCCCUCGGCUCAACCGAGGAACUGCACGGGAAACUGGCGGGCUUGAGUUCGGGAGAGGGAAGCGGAAUUCCGGGUGUAGCGGUGAAAUGCGUAGAUAUUCGGAGGAACACCGGUUGCGAAGGCGGCUUCCUGGACCGACACUGACGCUGAGGCGCGAAAGCUAGGGGAGCAAACGGG
rnacentral:rRNA from 1 species